rnacentral:lncRNA from 1 species
AUAUUGAAGUAUGUUCCUAAGGCAGAAUCAUAGCUUUGUGAACAUGUAUCUAUACAAUAGCUUGAAAUCCAGGUAGGGGGAUCUGGGAACCUCUACUCAAUUGUAUUGUAUGCAUAUAUGUUGCUUGACAUGUUUGUUGUGGAAUGAAUGAAUAUUUGAUGCAAUUACAUUGCGAAGUAUAUGUUAUCAAUUGAUGCAUCAUCCAUUGAGUACAUAUGAAGUAUAAGGGUGGUGAUGGUGAUAUGUGUAAUGUUAUCGAUAUAAGAAAGUUUGAAAUUUACCUUUUGCGUAGUUGAGUCCAUAACCUUAGCAGGUACCAGAUCCCAGGUAUGCCCAUUGUUAAUGCGCAAUUAGUAUAGGAUUGAAAGGGUAAUUCGGGACUGGCGAAAGGGGCAUGGACAAGAUGACUAGCAAAAGAGGGUUAGGGGGAUUGAUUUUGGGUGGGGGUUAGUUCAUAUAGUUGAGUACUCUGAGUCACCUUCGUGGUAAAAUACAUGGUAUGGGACAUGUACGCUCAGUUUAUUCUGCUGUGUGAAUUAUCGGGAAUAGAACAUGUAUUCAUGCAUACCAUAUAAUGAUUGUUUGGUUAUCUUUUGUGUGAAGAGAAAUAGCUCCCUACUGAGCCACAGGUUGAGCUCACUCCUUAACAGUCUUGCAGGUUAUUAAACACAAGAACUAUGAAGAUUAGUGAUCGAAAGCAAUUAGAGUUAGUUGGAGUUUUGUAUUUGUAAGAUCAUUAUU